GACGAACGCUGGCGGCGUGCUUAACACAUGCAAGUCGAACGGUAAGGCCCUUCGGGGUACACGAGUGGCGAACGGGUGAGUAACACGUGGGUGAUCUGCCCUGCACUUCGGGAUAAGCCUGGGAAACUGGGUCUAAUACCGGAUAGGACCACUGCCUGCAUGGGUGGUGGUGGAAAGCUUUUGCGGUGUGGGAUGGGCCCGCGGCCUAUCAGCUUGUUGGUGGGGUGAUGGCCUACCAAGGCGACGACGGGUAGCCGGCCUGAGAGGGUGACCGGCCACACUGGGAAUGAGAGACUGCCCAGACUCCUACGGGAGGCAGCAGUGGGGAAUAUUGCACAAUGGGCGCAAGCCUGAUGCAGCGACGCCGCGUGAGGGAUGAUGGCCUUCGGGUUGUAAACCUCUUUCAGCACCGACGAAGCGCAAGUGACGGUAGGUGCAGAAGAAGGACCGGCCAACUACGUGCCAGCAGCCGCAGUAAUAC
rnacentral:rRNA from 1 species